rnacentral:piRNA from 1 species
UGCUUCUACCCUGAGGGGUUGGUCCUUC